CUGAGUUUGAUCCUGGCUCAGGACGAACGCUGGCGGCGUGCUUAACACAUGCAAGUCGAACGGUGAAGCGGGUGCUUGCACUCGUGGAUCAGUGGCGAACGGGUGAGUAACACGUGAGUAACCUGCCCUCCACUCUGGGAUAAGCGCUGGAAACGGCGUCUAAUACUGGAUACGACCGACCCUCGCAUGGGGUGUUGGUGGAAAGAUUUAUCGGUGGUGGAUGGACUCACGGCCUAUCAGCUUGUUGGUGGGGUAAUGGCCUACCAAGGCGACGACGGGUAGCCGGCCUGAGAGGGCGACCGGCCACACUGGGACUGAGACACGGCCCAGACUCCUACGGGAGGCAGCAGUGGGGAAUAUUGCACAAUGGGCGAAAGCCUGAUGCAGCGACGCCGCGUGAGGGAUGACGGCCUUCGGGUUGUAAACUCUCUUUCAGCAGGGAAGAAGCUUUUGUGACGGUAC
rnacentral:rRNA from 1 species